CAGGGUGUAGUUUAUAAUUAAAAUACUAACUUUGGAAGUUAAUGAUAGUAGCUUACUUUCUCUGA
rnacentral:tRNA from 1 species